GACGAACGCUGGCGGCGUGCCUAACACAUGCAAGUCGAACGGACAGGCCAUGAUUUUGUGGGGUGCUCGUGUGCCGCACGCGUGAGUAAAACACGUGUAACACCCACUUGAAUUUCGGGUAUCUUUCGGAAAAAGCGGAUCAUACAGGAUAUGAGAUCCUGCAGCAUGGUGGGGGUUGGAAAGUUUCGGCGGUUUGGGAUGGUGUCGCGGCUUCUCAGCUUGUAGGUGGGGUAGUGGCUUACCAAGGAUUUGACGGGUAGCCGGCCUGAGAGGGAGACCGGCCACAAGGGGACUGAGAGAGGGACCAGACUGAUACGUGCGGCAGCGGGGGGGAAUAUGGCACAAGAGGCGGACGCCAGAUGCAGCGACGCCGGGUGCGUGAGGACGGCUUUCGGGGUGGAAACCGCUUUCGCCGGUGACGAAGCGUGAGUGACGGUAACGAAUAAAAAAGCACCGGCUAACUACGUG
rnacentral:rRNA from 1 species